GCUACACAUGCAGUCGAGCGGAACGACAANNAUUGAAUCUUCGGAGGAUUUGUUGGGCGUCGAGCGGCGGACGGGUGAGUAAUGCCUAGGAAAUUGCCUUGAUGUGGGGGAUAACCAUUGGAAACGAUGGCUAAUACCGCAUAAUGCCUACGGGCCAAAGAGGGGGANCUUCGGACCUCUCGCGUCAAGAUAUGCCUAGGUGGGAUUAGCUAGUUGGUGAGGUAAUGGCUCACCAAGGCGACGAUCCCUAGCUGGUCUGAGAGGAUGAUCAGCCACACUGGAACUGAGACACGGUCCAGACUCCUACGGGAGGCAGCAGUGGGGAAUAUUGCACAAUGGGCGAAAGCCUGAUGCAGCCAUGCCGCGUGUAUGAAGAAGGCCUUCGGGUUGUAAAGUACUUUCAGUUGUGAGGAAGGGUGUGUAGUUAAUAGCUGCANAUCUUGACGUUAGCAACAGAAGAAGCACCGGCUAACUCCGUGCCAGCAGCCGCGGUAAUACGGAGGGUGCGAGCG
rnacentral:rRNA from 1 species